rnacentral:rRNA from 1 species
GAACGCUGGCGGCAGGCCUAACACAUGCAAGUCGAGCGGAAACGAGUUAACUGAACCUUCGGGAAACGUUAACGGCGUCGAGCGGCGGACGGGUGAGUAAUGCCUGGAAAAUUGCCCUGAUGUGGGGGAUAACCAUUGGAAACGAUGGCUAAUACCGCAUAAUAGCUUCGGCUCAAAGAGGGGGACCUUCGGGCCUCUCGCGUCAGGAUAUGCCCAGGUGGGAUUAGCUAGUUGGUGAGGUAAUGGCUCACCAAGGCGACGAUCCCUAGCUGGUCUGAGAGGAUGAUCAGCCACACUGGAACUGAGACACGGUCCAGACUCCUACGGGAGGCAGCAGUGGGGAAUAUUGCACAAUGGGCGCAAGCCUGAUGCAGCCAUGCCGCGUGUAUGAAGAAGGCCUUCGGGUUGUAAAGUACUUUCAGCAGUGAGGAAGGUGGUGUCGUUAAUAGCGGCAUCAUUUGACGUUAGCUGCAGAAGAAGCACCGGCUAACUCCGUGCCAGCAGCCGCGGUAAUACGGAGGGUGCGAGCGUUAAUCGGAAUUACUGGGCGUAAAGCGCAUGCAGGUGGUUUGUUAAGUCAGAUGUGAAAGCCCGGGGCUCAACCUCGGAAUUGCAUUUGAAACUGGCAGACUAGAGUACUGUAGAGGGGGGUAGAAUUUCAGGUGUAGCGGUGAAAUGCGUAGAGAUCUGAAGGAAUACCGGUGGCGAAGGCGGCCCCCUGGACAGAUACUGACACUCAGAUGCGAAAGCGUGGGGAGCAAACAGGAUUAGAUACCCUGGUAGUCCACGCCGUAAACGAUGUCUACUUGGAGGUUGUGGCCUUGAGCCGUGGCUUUCGGAGCUAACGCGUUAAGUAGACCGCCUGGGGAGUACGGUCGCAAGAUUAAAACUCAAAUGAAUUGACGGGGGCCCGCACAAGCGGUGGAGCAUGUGGUUUAAUUCGAUGCAACGCGAAGAACCUUACCUACUCUUGACAUCCUCAGAAGAGACUGGAGACAGUCUUGUGCCUUCGGGAACUGAGAGACAGGUGCUGCAUGGCUGUCGUCAGCUCGUGUUGUGAAAUGUUGGGUUAAGUCCCGCAACGAGCGCAACCCUUAUCCUUGUUUGCCAGCGAGUCAUGUCGGGAACUCCAGGGAGACUGCCGGUGAUAAACC